rnacentral:lncRNA from 1 species
GGUGGCUCACGCCUGUAAUCCCAACACUUUGGGAGGCCGAGGCGGGCUGAUCGCGAGCUCAGGAGUUCGAGAUCAGCCUGACCAAUAAAAACACAAAAAUUAGCCGGGCAUGAUGGUGCGCGCCUGUACGUUUAUAUGAAUGCAAACUGAGCUUUAUUUCCAUCCUCUGCCCCUUCCCGCUUAAUGGCAUAUCCUUCAUCUUAGUCAAACCAGGCUACUCCUGAGUCAAUAAUGGUCUUCGUCCUAGUCAAUUCAGGG